ACUGGACAGACAGGACAGACACACAGGUAAGACUGGACAGACAGGACAGACACACAGGUAAGACUGGACAGACAGGACAGACACACAGGUAAGACUGGACAGACAGGACAGACACACAGGUAAGACUGGACAGACAGGACAGACACACAGGUAAGACUGGACAGACAGGACAGACACACAGGUAAGACUGGACAGACAGGACAGACACACAGGUAAGACUGGACAGACAGGACAGACACACAGGUAAGACUGGACAGACAGGACAGACACACAGGUAAGACUGGACAGACAGGACAGACACACAGGUAAGACUGGACAGACAGGACAGACACACAGGUAAGACCGGACAGACAGGACAGACUGGACAGACUGGACAGACAGACAGGACAGACUGGACAGACUGGACAGACAGACAGGACAGACUGGACAGACAGACAGGACAGACUGGACAGACAGGACAGACAGACAGGACAGACAGGACAGACAGACAGGACAGACAGACCGG